UUGCCUGUGCUGAUGAGUGUGUGCAAGCCAGGAAAGUGGAAUCAACUCUGGACCAGAUGAAAACCUUGCCACAGCAUGGAUGGAGACUGGGCCAACCCUGGCACAUGGAAAUAGACCUGUGCAGCUUAAAGGUCAGGCACAACACAGUAGCAGCAGCAGCAGGGAGAGGAGGAUUUGUCCCAGUGAAUACACAAGCUGUAUGAGGAUAUCUCAGUAGGCAGCCCCCAAGCUCCAGCAGGACCCAAGGAUCCAGGAUCCAGCACAAUGCAGUGGCCUGAGAAAGGAUUUUUGUGGGUCAGUUGGAUGUGUUUCCUGCUUCAUACUGAGGCUCUGAGAUGGACCCAAGGUUUACACUUCGAUUUCUGCGAACAGAAAGUAAUCAGAAAUUUUUCCAGCUCUCAAAAGCA